AUAUCAGUUUUAAUAAUAUAAUAUAUUGUAUAUGCAUAUAAUAUUGAUAAUAAUAUUAUCAUUUUAUACAAUACAAUACUAACAAUAAUAUCAUAUAAUAAUAUUAAUUAUAUGUUAUAUAUUACAUAUAAUAUUACAGUAUAGUGGUAUAGUUCAAUAUAGUAUAAUGCUAAUAUUGUGCUAUGCUAAUAAUAUAAUAUUAUUGUAUGUACAUACAGCUGCUCUGAGUUCCCUUCGGGGUGAGAAGGGUGGGAUAUAAAUGUAGUAAAUAAAUGUAGUAAAUGAAUAAAUAAAUAAUUUUGGACUUAGGCUCGCCCAAAGUCUGAAAUGACUUGAAGACACACAACAACAACAACAACAACAACAACAACAACAACCCUAAUUAACCUGACUAUCUCAUUGGCCAGAAGCUGGCCCACACUUCCUAUUGAAAUCCUGAUAGAUUUAUGUUGGUUAAAAUUAUUUUCAUUGUUAUGGUUGAGCCUUAUGGCUCCAAUACUGGGAGACGUGGCCGUAAGACUCCUCGAGAGUCAGACUCUAUUGAGGAGCGAGAGAGGAAACGGCUGCGGGACAUAUUUGCAGAAUCAACUGACGAAGAUUCCUUUGAGGGUUUUACUGAGAGAAUGGAGGAAGAGGUGGUUAGCUCAGAGGAGGGUGACAUGGAAUGGACACGUGUGAGGGAGGAUUUGGGUGUUCCUGGUAAUGAUAGCAUGGGAAGCGACUGGCGGGUUGCAGGAUCGGACCCAUGGACGAGUUGGAGGGAUGGGACGGGAUCCACAGCUGGGGAUGCUGUGGGGCGUAGUCAAAGAUGUUUUAGCUCUGAUGAGGAUGAUGAUGAUGAGGCACCUGGAAUUAGGGUAACACCUGAUAGCGAUGAGGAGUUGUAACUGGCAUAAAAUGGGGUCUUGAAUCCAGGGCUAAUUGCGUUGGGCAAGGUAAUCUGGACGAACGCUUGGGCUCUUGUUGGGAAUUUCCUGAAGACGGGUGUGUUUCGUUUGCUGACUACCUUGGACCUCCGUCGUCUUCUUGACGGACAUUAUUUACCUACUCGGAAUUGACGCUGGACUGGCUGACUGACUGACUGACUGACUGACUGGCUGACUACGACCUUGGACUACCCUCUCUUUGGCUAUCGGAGGAUUUCGUGGAACCUAAGACGCCUGCACCUGGCCUUCGACCUCGGACCGGAUUGGGACCCCGCUGACCGCUGCAACCCUGAUUGAUGUGUUUGGACCCGGCGUUCGCCCGCUGCACGGAGGAGUAACAACUUAGUUGCUCAACCUCAGCUGUUGAGUAGCAGAGAGGAAUCUGCUGCCAGUAUUUAUGUUCUAUUGAAUCUUUGUUUACCAGCUUUUUUGUUUGUUUAAAGUUCCAGGCUGAAGUAAGCAUUUUUGGUUUAAUCCGGUUUAGCUUUUGAACCAUUUUUGAGUGACUUUUCAUAUUGAAGGCGAGUGUUUGCCUAGCUCUUUGUUUUUUACGGGCAUUUUUUGGUUCUGUAUCUUUAAUAAACUGUGUUGAAUCUU